CGGUCGCCCUCCCCUGGGGACCCGGUUUUCUGCUAGAAGCGGGCUCGGGAGCUCAGAGUCCCAAGUGUGCGCUUUGGUCUUUGAUGCUAUCGACAAAGUGUGGUUUCAGAUGUUGCCCCGGCUGAGGCCGGUUUCCUGUCUGUGUGUGGAGUGGAUGGAAGGACCGCGCCGGUUGCUGCAAGUGUCUUCUCCUUCGCUGAUCCUGGACCUCUUCUACUUCUGGGGGAAACUAAAUCUGGUCACCAAUAAAGCACCCAUCCGAUCAAGCAAUUAAAUACCAAUUAUGACUACUAAUGACUGUAUACUAAUGACUGGAGUUGAGGACUCCAAACCCAGCUCCAGGUAAUCAAGCCGUUUCAAAAUUCUGCUACCUCAGAUCUUUACAGCACGCCACCCCAGUAAAGGAGACAACCAGGUGCUUGCUCAACAAGACCAGCGCUCGCCCACCCGCCCGGGGACCAGCCUGCGGCGGCCUGCAGGAGCACGAGGCCGAGGUGGAGAAUCCGUGCAGCGGGCCCCGCGCCAUGUACAGCCCCGGCACGUCCACAGAGCCCCAGGAACCAUCAAGGGACUCCCGUCUCAGCAGCUGGGGACACGCCUGUAAGUGUGCAGUGUUCCAGUCAACUAAAUGGACUUGCCUUCAGCCAG
ensembl:lncRNA